GAAUUUUCAUAAUGUGUUUUCUAACCAGGAAGGCAAUGUUGCCAACUAGAGGGAACAUCUAAUUCUUCUCCUUGCCAAUAUUCACAUUCAGAAAGCUAAUAAGCAGUCUAUCUUGAAGAGUUAUACACAGUAUAUCCCUUUGCCAAUCAGUGACCUUGAUUCUUGGUUGAAGACACCCUCCAUAUAUGUUUUUGAUUGCUCUGCGGCUGGGGGAAUAUUGUGAAUGCUUUUAUUGAGCUUCAUGAUUGGGUUGCUUCUAGCUCCUCUGGAUCCACAAGGGAUUGCAUUCUACUUGGAGCUUGUGAAGCACAUGAGACUCUUCCACAAAGUGCUGAAUUUCCUACAGAUGUGUUUACGUCUUGUCUCACAACACCUAUUUAGAUGGCUUUGAGAUGGUGAGCUUCUUUUCUUGUUCGUCUGUUAGGAUCGCCUAUCGCGUUUAUGCAUCUUUAUUUGAGAUCAUGCAGUUUUCUGGUUUUGCCUUGUGGUGUUUAUUCCAUAUUGGCUGCUUCCUAGUUAUUUUUAGUUUGUCAACUGAAAGUCUUUUAGCUGUGUUGUUUGUUUAAAGCUGUAGGAAGUUAGAAAUGGCAUGGUAUAUAAAAUACAGAGAAAUCAAUCCUUAUUCCUAAAUCCAACUCGACCGAUGCCUUGUGACGUGAUUGGUUUGAAUAAAUGCUUUGAAAUAUACACAAGUUAGCUAAUCUCUGCCUCUAUUUUGGGCAGUGAAUGCUUUUUCUUAUGAGACUAAAUUUUUUUUGUUGUAUUUUAAGUUGUGGAUAACAAUUGGUUUUUAUUUUUUAAGAUAACAAUUAGUUUUUGUGUUGUGGAUCAUUAGAUCUGUUUUAUUAACAUAAGGAUGUAAUAUUUGCUUCUACAUUUACUAUCAUUCUAGUCAUAGAAAUUUAGUAUAGUUUAGUUACAAGUUUAAUUGUUUUGCACCUAUAAGGGCUCUAUAACCCAUGCUUGCAAACUGGAAGUGACAUCAGGGAAAUAGUGUUUGAAGUGUUUGUUGAUAAGGAAGCUUUAUACUGUAUUUCAGAUGAAUCUGAAUCUACUUUUCAUGAGGCUUUUCUUAGUCGUCUUACGGAAACUGGUGCAACAGAAAGUUCAUCUUUAUGUGACCUUCCUAAACAGAUGGAAGGUGAUCAACAGAGAGCCUCUGAAUAGACUAAGAACAUCUUAAGUAAUUUAGUUGCUGCUAUUGACAAUUUGUGGUAUCUAAAAGAUGGAAUACAUACUGUAAUC